rnacentral:lncRNA from 1 species
UAUAUCAGAUAAUUCAUAACCAAAGAAAAUUUGAGCUAUGCAAGAAAAUAAACCUGUCCAGGGUCUGAUAUAUUUGAUGGAAGUAGCUCAUUUUCAAACUUCUCAUCAUCCAAACCGUAUGAACUGUAUACAAUGAAAAAAUAGAAAUGAUGACUGAAGUUUAAAUAAAGUAUUGCAGAAACAAUAAAUGUUGCCAUAACACACCAUUAAAAAUAAAAUUCAUGACUGAGCACAUAGAUGUAUUAGAGUUAUGCAUUUCUCCAUAUAACAAAAAAAUCCCCAGCUAAAGACAAUACAGAAAAAAAAUCAACUGCGACUUAGACUUCCCACCAGCAAUCCCAAUUAGCUUUCUCAUGAUGUUUCUUUAUCUUCAUUUACCAGGCUAAGACUUAAAUAUACAUCCAAAUUAGAUUUACCACAAUCCAGGAACAGUUCUAGUUGGUGUCUUACUUAGUUCCUUUAGAAAGAUACUUGAAAAUCAUAAUGUAAUUCUCCAUGUUUUAUGGUCUUUAUAUUGACAGGCCUAGCACUAUAAAUGUUAUCAUAUGACUUAUAGAUAUAACUAGUCAAGCAGAAGAUAAGUGUUAAUCCAACACCUAGCUUUUUCUCUGAACUAUACACAGCCAAGAUCAAUUAGCUCAGAACUGCCAAAUAUUCUAACCAUUACAUACGUCACAAAAUAGCAGAAGCAAGAAAAGAUAAAAAGAUAUAAAGUAGAAAUAUUCCGUGCUAGUGAUAUUAAUGCUUAAGACAACAGAGAUAAACAUAGUACUAAGUAAAACACUAUACAUACAACAAUUGCUAUGUUUUGAUUAAUUAUUUUGUGUACUUGACAUCAAAAUACAUCUUUCAACAAGAUUUAUCAAAUUUAUAGCUGAAUGGAGAGCAAUUAUGAUCAUUUUCUGCUAAUAGGAAUUAGUAUUCAUUAUGUUUAUCACGAUGAAUGCUAAUGAUUUUACUAAGUCUUGCUAUACAGUUUUAAACUUUACUUUAUUGAAACCAACCCAUUAGAAACUGAAUUCAGCAACCCCUACUAUAUUUCAACUCAACAAGAUGGGCAGGCUUCAAAUAUCAAUUGGCUUGUCAAAAAGUCAUGCCACACCAAACAUGACACCAUUCUGUAACAGGUCAUUAUUUUAUACAUAUCCAGCAGGAUUUUACUUUUACCCACAUGUUUCUCAUGCAAGACUUGAAGCUCAUCCCUGUGCACACAGACACAGACACAAAAAUUGAAAAAGAAAUACCGACAUGGUCAUUCGUCAAGAAAAUCCCUUAGU